rnacentral:rRNA from 1 species
AUACAUAGUCAAACGAAGCGAACCGGGGGAACUGAAACAUCUCAGUACCCCGAGGAAAAGAAAUCAACCGAGAUUCCCCUAGUAGCGGCGAGCGAACGGGGAGCAGCCCAGAGUCUUAAUCAGCAUUAGUAUCAGGAGAACGGUCUGGAAAGUCCGGCAGUAAAGGGUGAUAGCCCCGUAUCUGAAGAUAUUAGUGUUGUGAACUCGACGAGUAGGGCGGGACACGUGUUAUCCUGUCUGAAUAUGGGGGGACCAUCCUCCAAGGCUAAAUACUCCUGAUUGACCGAUAGUGAACCAGUACCGUGAGGGAAAGGCGAAAAGAACCCCGGCGAGGGGAGUGAAAUAGAACCUGAAACCGUGUACGUACAAGCAGUGGGAGCCUUGAUUUAUCAGGGUGACUGCGUACCUUUUGUAUAAUGGGUCAGCGACUUAUAUUCUGUAGCAAGGUUAACCGUAUAGGGGAGCCGUAGGGAAACCGAGUCUUAACUGGGCGAAUGAGUUGCAGGGUAUAGACCCGAAACCCGGUGAUCUAGCCAUGGGCAGGUUGAAGGUUGGGUAACACUAACUGGAGGACCGAACCGACUAAUGUUGAAAAAUUAGCGGAUGACUUGUGGCUGGGGGUGAAAGGCCAAUCAAACCGGGAGAUAGCUGGUUCUCCCCGAAAGCUAUUUAGGUAGCGCCUCGUGAACUCAUCUUCGGGGGUAGAGCACUGUUUCGACUAGGGGGUCAUCCCGACUUACCAACUCGAUGCAAACUACGAAUACCGAAGAAUGUUAUCACGGGAGACACACGGCGGGUGCUAACGUUCGUCGUGAAGAGGGAAACAACCCAGACCGCCAGCUAAGGUCCCAAAGUCAUAGUUAAGUGGGAAACGAAGUGGGAAGGCUCAGACAGCCAGGAUGUUGGCUUAGAAGCAGCCAUCAUUUAAAGAAAGCGUAAUAGCUCACUGGUCGAGUCGGCCUGCGCGGAAGAUGUAACGGGGCUAAACUAUGCACCGAAGCUGCGGCAGCGAUAUGUAAAUAUUGUUGGGUAGGGGAGCGUUCUGUAAGCCUGUGAAGGUGUACUGUGAGGUAUGCUGGAGGUAUCAGAAGUGCGAAUGCUGACAUAAGUAACGAUAAUGCGGGUGAAAAACCCGCACGCCGGAAGACCAAGGGUUCCUGUCCAACGUUAAUCGGGGCAGGGUGAGUCGACCCCUAAGGCGAGGCAGAAAUGCGUAGUCGAUGGGAAACGGGUUAAUAUUCCCGUACUGGUGAUAAUUGCGAUGGGGGGACGGAGAAGGCUAGGCUGGCCGGGCGACGGUUGUCCCGGUUUAAGGAUGUAGGCAGGUGAAUUAGGCAAAUCCGGUUCACUAUAUGCUGAGGUCUGAUGACGAGUCACUACGGUGGCGAAGUAGCUCAUGCCCCGCUUCCAGGAAAAG